UACGGAGGGUGCAAGCGUUGUUCGGAAUCAUUGGGCGUAAAGAGCGCGCAGGCGGUCGUUCAAGUCGCGUGUGAAAGCCCCCGGCUCAACUGGGGAGGGUCACGCGAUACUGAUCGACUCGAAGGCAGGAGAGGGUAGUGGAAUUCCCGGUGUAGUGGUGAAAUGCGUAGAUAUCGGGAGGAACACCAGUGGCGAAGGCGACUACCUGGCCUGUUCUUGACGCUGAGGCGCGAAAGCUAGGGGAGCAAACGGG
rnacentral:rRNA from 1 species